AGGUGGACUAGGUCGGGCGGUUAGGCCCCGCUCGCAACCCGCGAGGUAGUCUUCAGCGGGGACCGAACGCCGGGAGAGUCCGGUCGGACCGACUCGGGCCCCGGGAGCCAACGUGGAAGCCUCGUCCGACGGGGACAGCGGUUCGCGGCGCCCGCUCGCAGGAGCGGUCCGCCGUGGUUCGUCGGCGGCACCGGGUCAGGCGCGGAAGCGAGCAGCCCAUCGCCGGACGUGCGUCGCUCGUCGGAUCGCGGGGUGGAGGAGGCAACCGGGAUUCCCCGUGUCGGAACGCCGGGCAAACCCGGUCGUCCACCA
rnacentral:SRP_RNA from 2 species